UACGAAGGGGGCUAGCGUUGUUCGGAAUUACUGGGCGUAAAGCGCACGCAGGCGGAUUGAUAAGUCGGGGGUGAAAUCCCGGGGCUCAACCUCGGAAUUGCCUUCGAUACUGUUAGUCUUGAGUCCGGGAGAGGUGAGUGGAAUUCCUAGUGUAGAGGUGAAAUUCGUAGAUAUUAGGAAGAACACCAGUGGCGAAGGCGGCUCACUGGCCCGGUACUGACGCUCAUGUGCGAAAGCGUGGGGAGCAAACGGG
rnacentral:rRNA from 1 species